UAUUGAGAUAUAAUUCAGACUAGGGGCCCAGUGCAUGAAUUCCUGCACCUUGAAAGUAACUGUGGACUGCGAGGCUUUGGUGGGCACAGGGGUGAGUCUU